AUGAAUAUAUAUAUAUUUCAGGAACUCAAAUGGCUGCUUUGGAAGUAAGCAAUAUCACCAACAAAAAUAUAUUUUAAUGUCUAAAGUCACACGAGUAUGUUUAAGUACUGUGAAAAUUUCUGGAUGAUGGAGAAGCUAAUGAAAAAAAUUAUGUAAGCACACAUGCUAGGUAUGAAGAUAAAAGGUACAGAAAGAGCUUCUAAAGUGGGAUUUACAUAUAUUAACUUCGUAAUUGCAUACACAACAGGCAAUUACACAAGAGUUAAUAAAAUAGUAGUAAUGAUUUGUACUAGGUAAUUGAAAUUUAUGAAGCAGUUUUGGUGUCUCUAAUAAAGCUGUGAUGUCCUGAAGUAGAGCUAAUGAGUAUGAUAGAAGUGACUAGCAUGGAUAAACACAAUUAAUGUUGCAUUUGUCAAGCCAAGAUAGUAAAUAUUUUUUUUAAGUGUCUGAAUGUUAGUAUCAUUAUUAAUAUAGAUGGGAAACUGAGGCAGGAAUGUAACUCACGUUUCAGUUUGCUUUGCAACGAUAUAAAAGACAGAAAUGGGAUACUGCAUUCUUUCAUCUAUGCACCCUUUCUUCUACUUAGUAAAAUCAUAGUUGUUAUUUACAAAUAAUGUGUAAAGUGACUUCAAAAUCGAAUGCAGGGUCUGCUGGUGUGUUUUGGCAUUACUUCUGUACUUGUGGUAUGCUCCCCAAACCAUUGUUGUGCUUUGCAAUCUGAAUUCUUUCCUCAUGUUUGUACUGCUGUACUUGUAGCUGGUCGUUACUGUUGAGCUGGCGUCUGUAGCUGUUACCCUGCAGAAGUAAGCUGAUUGCUCCUGGGUUGCAGGAUCUCUGCCUUCGAGGUGUGUGAAGAAAGGAGAUCUCUGAAUAAAAAUCCUGUAUCAUAAUGGUAUGGAUGCUAGCAGCCAGAAUUGUGGGUGAGGAGUGAUUUGGUGGGCUGCAAUUAGGAGGGACAGGUGAAAACUCCAGGAAUAAGCAACCAAAAGUUUCUUGAAUCAAGUGUGUCAGAUCUCCACCAACACGUAUCACCUUUAGGACAGCCGUGGAGUGUGGGAAGGAUGGCUCUGGUUGCCAAAGCUCUGGGCACCACUCCCCUUUUACAGCAAGAGAGUGGGAUAUGAAAGCCUGUGAGAGCAGAUGGAAUGGCGGUACUCGUCCACCACUCUUUAUUUCUUGCAAAUUUCUGCAAUUUCUUUGGGUGCAGAGCUGGCUGGUGCUUAUUCACUCCAAAUGGGCUCCUCACAAAGGGAGUAAUCUGCUGUAAAGCUAUUGGAAAGCUUCACACGUGCACCUUUUCCUUGAGCUGCAUAUCUGGAAGGAGUUUGAGCUGUUAUGAAGGCAUUGAAGGGGGAAUGUUCUACUCAGUAGGAGGGAGCAAAAGGUGGGGUUCAGUGGUUUUCAUUAUGAGAUGUGCUGUAUUUCAAAAAUGACAAAGAAAAUGAAGCAAGGGGCCAGUGGACUUGGGUGAGAUCAAGUCUGAUCUAGUCACUGGUGUUGAGGAACCAAGAGAGCAAUUGGACUGACACAAACUAAAAAUGAGUGAAGCUACAUGUCAUGCCACUUGCCCCAAAAGGAUGCCCUAAACCAGUGCAAAUCACAAGCUUCUUUAGAUCCCCUUCCCUCCCCACACCCUACUGUUCUUCCAUGCUUCCUGGGAAACCCUGCUGUCUGCUGUUGAUGCUUCAUUGAUGUGCCCUCAGCCUCCCCCACCUUGUCCAGCUCUGACAGCUG